rnacentral:rRNA from 1 species
AUUGAACGCUGGCGGCAGGCCUAACACAUGCAAGUCGAACGAGUGGCGGACGGGUGAGUAAUGUCUGGGACACUGCCUGAUGGAGGGGGAUAACCACUGGAAACGGUCUCUAACACCGCAUACCCUCAGAUGUCCCCAUAUGGGAUGAGCUUGUUGGUGGGGUAACGGCUCACCAAGGCGACGAUCUCUAGCUGGUCUGAGAGGAUGACCAGCCACACUGGGACUGAGACAAGGUCCAGACGCCGACGGGAGGCAGCAGUGGGGAAUAGUGCACAAUGGGCGCAAGCCUGAUGCAGCCAUGCCGCGUGUAUGAAGAAGGCCUUAGGGUUGUAAAGUACGUUCAGCGGGGAGGCGUUACCGGCAGAAGAAGCACCGGCUAACUCCGUGCCAGCAGCCGCGGUAAUUC